UACGUAGGGUGCAAGCGUUAAUCGGAAUUACUGGGCGUAAAGCGUGCGCAGGCGGUUAUGCAAGACAGAGGUGAAAUCCCCGGGCUCAACCUGGGAACUGCAUUUGUGACUGCAAGGCUAGAGUACGGCAGAGGGGGAUGGAAUUCCGCGUGUAGCAGUGAAAUGCGUAGAUAUGCGGAGGAACACCAAUGGCGAAGGCAAUCCCCUGGGCCUGUACUGACGCUCAUGCACGAAAGCGUGGGGAGCAAACAGG
rnacentral:rRNA from 1 species